rnacentral:rRNA from 1 species
UACGAAGGGGGCGAGCGUUGUUCGGAAUUACUGGGCGUAAAGGGCGCGCAGGCGGCUCUGAAAGUCAGAUGUGAAAGCCCCGGGCUUAACCUGGGAACUGCAUUUGAUACUCUAGAGCUUGAGUACGGGAGAGGAGAGUGGAAUUCCCAGUGUAGAGGUGAAAUUCGUAGAUAUUGGGAAGAACACCGGUGGCGAAGGCGGCUAUCUGGACCGUAACUGACGCUGAGGCGCGAAAGCGUGGGGAGCAAACAGG